rnacentral:misc_RNA from 1 species
GUAGGUGAACCUGCGGAAGGAUCAUUAUCGAAUAAACUUGAUGGGUUGUCGCUGGCUUCUAGGAGCAUGUGCACAUCCGUCAUUUUUAUCCAUCCACCUGUGCACCUUUUGUAGUCUUUGGAGGUAAUAAGCGUGAAUCUAUCGAGGUCCUCUGGUCUUCGGAAAGAGGUGUUUGCCAUAUGGCUCGCCUUUGAUACUCGCGAGUUACUCUAAGACUAUGUCCUUUCAUAUACUACGAAUGUAAUAGAAUGUAUUCAUUGGGCCUCAGUGCCUAUAAAACAUAUACAACUUUCAGCAACGGAUCUCUUGGCUCUC